UUUCCGUAGGUGAACCUGCGGAAGGAUCAUUACUGUGGGGGAUUGUCCCCAUUAGAUAGAUACCCUUUGUUUAUGAGUACCUCUGUUUCCUCGGCGGGCCCGCCCGCCAAUGGGGACCACGAAGAAACCUCUUGCAGUUGCAGUAAACGUCUAAACAAACAAAAAAUCAAAACUUUCAACAACGGAUCUCUUGGUUCUGGCAUCGAUGAAGAACGCAGC
rnacentral:misc_RNA from 1 species